rnacentral:rRNA from 1 species
AGCAGCCGCGGUAAUUCCAGCUCCAAUAGCGUAUAUUAAAGUUGUUGCAGUUAAAAAGCUCGUAGUUGAAUUUCGGGAUCGAAUUGUUAGUCGUGCUUCGGUACGUACUGGCAUUAUUGGUUCCUACCUUCUGAAGAACCGCGAUGUCAUUAAUUUGGUGUCGUGGGGAAUCAGGACUGUUACUUUGAAAAAAUUAGAGUGUUUAAAGCAGGCGCACGCUUGAAUACAUUAGCAUGGAAUAAUGAAAUAGGACGUUUGAUUCUAUUUUGUUGGUUUCUAGGAUCGACGUAAUGAUUAAUAGGGAUAGUUGGGGGCAUUAGUAUUCAAUUGUCAGAGGUGAAAUUCUUGGAUUUAUUGAAGACUAACUACUGCGAAAGCAUUUGCCAAGGAUGUUUUCAUUAAUCAAGAACGAAAGUUAGGGGAUCGAAGACGAUCAGAUACCGUCGUAGUCUUAACCAUAAACUAUGCCGACUAGGGAUCGGAUGAUGUUAAUUUUUUAAUGACUCA